UAUGCUAUAGUCAUCCGAUCCGGCUCGUUCCGACUUAUAUACUACCUGCAAUAGAAAGACAACUUUUGGGAAAGUUUCAUGCAGAUAGCUUUAAAACUGAGAGACUAGUUUGCGUAGAAACGGACGGACAGACGGACAGACGGACAUGGCUAGAUCGACUCGCCUAGUGAUGCUGAUCAAGAAUAUAUAUACUUUAUAGGGUCGGAGAUGUCCCCUUCACUGCGUUGCAAACUUCUGACUGAAAUUAUAAUACCCUCUGCAAGGGUAUAAAAAAGCGAUUUUUAUUUUAAUAUACAGUGGAGUUUUAUUGGUAAAGUCUUUAUAGUUACAUUUGGAUUGGUCAAAGCUUUUAUGCUGAUGAAUUGGUGCUGAUGCUGGACCCUUUGUUUUAAAGUUUAUAAUUUGCUGUCGUCGGUAAAGGCGUGUGAAAUGUUUAUAAUAAGGGGACUGUUGCUAACAGGCUUGGGAAACGUUUAUGUGUGAAUAAUUUGAAUAACUCCUAUAGUAGGCUCUAAAAUGUUAUGUUUGAUAAACGAUGUAAUGGGUAUCUCGUAUUUCGUAAUACGUCACUUACAUACUUACGAAAAGCAAUAAAAAAUAUAUGUACAUAUCGACAAACCGGUUCUUAAACCGGAAUUUUAUCAAUCGGUUAAUGUUGAACCCCGAACCGAACUUUGUCAAAUUGGAAUGAGUUCACAGCCAUGAAAUUAAUAAGAGUAAGAUGGUAAGAUAAGGUCUGCAUCCCAAUUGAGGCCCAGUAGAGCAAAAAGUACAAAGUUCUUUUGCACAGACUCUAUUCGGUCUAUAUGUACACCAUACUGGGGACUUCAAACUGGGAUCAUCAAAUUUUUUAGAUCACCUUUUUAUAAAUCCCUGGCUUUAUUUACCCUGGAAAUAAUUUGGUCAGAAAACUUAAGUCUUGGGUCCAGAUAUACGCCAAGGUCAUCAAUAUGUCUAAUUCCAGUCAUCUCACAACCACUUUACGUAUAUGUGGCAUACUGUGGAUUGACCCGAUAAAAUUUCACAAUUUUGGUAUAGGGUGAUCAAUUUAUAUAGUGGUCUGCACAGGGUCUCUGCGCAGUAUCUAAGCAGACUGCCUGGAACACCGUCAAGAUCCGGUGAGUAGACUUAACCUUUUGCAGAUCAACAGGAAGGUAGCAUCCCCUUAAAUUCGGACAAAAUAUUGAGUUAGACUUGGACAUAUAAAUAAGAUAUACAUAUAAAAAAGACUGAUGUGAUCGGGACGAAGCUGAAUACGUCGUUUGAAAAAUGCAAUGCUGGAAGAGGCGGAUUUACGCUUAGUGUUAACAAAACUAUAAAACCAUUUUGGAUGCUGUGAAAACUGGAUCCUACAACGAGUUAAAUAGCCAUUAUAACACUGUGCGUUAAGCACGAUAAAAUUCGCCAAAGCACUUAAGUAUCUGGAAAAGACAG